rnacentral:rRNA from 1 species
AUGCACGUCGGCACGUACGUACUACUCGCGGAUCCAUGCUAUGCAUGCAUGGCCAUGGUACGUAGUACGUCCAGCUGCAUGCCAAUCAAUGGAUCUCGUCUAGCUCUGCUCUGGUCGUCGUACUUUAACGUGUCAGAAAAGUUGCGCCGUGCAGCCGGGCAGCGAGGGGGCCCGGAUGACCUGCAGGAUCUGGACCACCUCGGCCAUGGACGGCCGGUUGGACGGGAUCUGCGACGUGCACACCACGCCCAGCUUCAGCACCGGCAGCGCCUCCUCCUCCGGGAACUCGCCGCGCAGCGCCGGGUCCACCAGUCUCUCCGCCGCGGCGUCGUCGUCCCCACCGCCCCCCUGCUCCAGCGCCACACGCACCUGGUCUGUCAGCACGGCCACGUCGUCCUCCCCGUACUCCACCGCGCGCCGCCCCGUCACCAGCUCCAGCACCAGCACGCCGAACCCGUACACGUCGCACUUCUCGUUCACCCGCAGGCUGCUGCACGCCAGCUCCGGCGCCGCGUACCCCAUGGCCGCGCUCUGCAUGAACCGGCAGCUGCCCAUCGCGCCCACGCCGCCGUUGCCGUCCGGCUGCUGCUGCUGCUGCUUCGGCUUCCGGAGCAGCCGCGCCAGCCCGAAGUCGGCGAUCAGCGGGUUGCACCGCGAGUCCAGCAGGAUGUUGCUCGGCUUCAGGUUGUAGUGGAUCACCGGCGGCCGGAACGACUGGUGCAGGUAGGCCAGGCCCCUCGCCGUGCCGGCCACCACCCUGAACCGCUCCGCCCACGUCAGCGACGGGAACGCCGCGCCGCCGUCCUUGCCGUGGAGCCGCGCCUCCAGGCUGCCGUGCGGCGCGUAGUCGGUGACGAGGAGCUGCAGCUGCGGCGUCCAGUAGUAGCCCUUGAGCGGCAUCAGGUUGGGGUGCCGCGCCUUGCCCAGCACGCGCGCCUCGCGGUCGAACUCGUCGCGGGACUCCACCACGCUCGCCGUCGACAGCUUCUUCACGGCGACCACGCGGCCCUCGCCCACGGACGCCCGGUAAGUCGUCCCAAACGCGCCGCCGCGCCCGAUCUCCGUCGCCUUGCUCAGCAGCGCGUCCGCGCCGCCCACGAAGUCCUCCGUGCGGAGGCGAGGAGGGGGAGGUCGUCGGGGAGCGGGCCGUGGAGGGCGUUGCGGGAGAGGUCGAGGAGGCGGAGGGAGGGCAGGAGGGAGAGGCCGGGGCGGAGGGCGCCGGAGAGGUUGUUGCGGGCGAGGGAGAGCGACUGGAGGCGCGGGAGGCGGUCGAGGCCGCGGGGCAGGCCGGAGGCGGAGGAGAGGGCGAGGCCGUCGAGCGCGAGGCGGAGCACGCGGGCGGUGGCUGGGUCGCACUCCACGUGCGGCCAGCCGCAGGGCGUGGCGUCGGACUCGGCCCACGCGGCGAGGGCGCCGGAGGGGUCCGUGAGGGCGGAGCGGAACACCACCAGCCCCAGCACCUCCUCGUUCACCGGCUCCGGCAGCGCGUCCGCGUAG